GCCCUAGUAACGGCGAGUGAAGCGGCAACAGCUCAAAUUUGAAAUCUGGCUCUUUUAGAGUCCGAGUUGUAAUUUGCAGAGGGCGCUUUGGCUUUGGCAGCGGUCCAAGUUCCUUGGAACAGGACGUCACAGAGGGUGAGAAUCCCGUACGUGGUCGCUGGCUAUUGCCGUGUAAAGCCCCUUCGACGAGUCGAGUUGUUUGGGAAUGCAGCUCUAAAUGGGAGGUACAUUUCUUCUAAAGCUAAAUAUUGGCCAGAGACCGAUAGCGCACAAGUAGAGUGAUCGAAAGAUGAAAAGCACUUUGGAAAGAGAGUCAAACAGCACGUGAAAUUGUUGAAAGGGAAGCGCUUGCAGCCAGACUUGCUUACAGUUGCUCAUCCGGGUUUUUACCCGGUGCACUCUUCUGUAGGCAGGCCAGCAUCAGUUUGGGCGGUAGGAUAAAGGUCUCUGUCACGUACCUCCUUUCGGGGAGGCCUUAUAGGGGAGACGACAUACUACCAGCCUGGACUGAGGUCCGCGCAUCUGCUAGGAUGCUGGCGUAAUGGCUGUAAGCGGCCCGUCUUGAAACACGGACCAAGGAGUCUAACAUCUAUGCGAGUGUUUGGGUGUCAAGCCCGAGCGCGUAAUGAAAGUGAACGGAGGUGGGAACCCGCAAGGGUGCACCAUCGACCGAUCCUGAUGUCU
rnacentral:rRNA from 1 species